rnacentral:lncRNA from 1 species
AUUAAUAUAACAAAAAAGUGUGUAAAGUUUUAAGCAAUAAUCAUAAAUUGUUUUUGAGAUACGGCGCGACAUGUAAAAAAACCCUCCCCCUUUUUUACAAAAUACUCAAAAACUCAAAAAUGAAAUUUUGAAUCAUCACCAAAAAGUAUACAGAUAUUAAGAUUAAUAUAACUAAGAAGUGUGUAAAGUUUUAAGCAAUAAUCAAGAAACGUUUUUGAGAUACGGUGCGACAUGUGAAAAAAAAACACACCCCUGUUUUAGUUACAAAGUGCCGUAACUCAAAAAGUUUAAAUCUUAUUUUCACCAAAAAGUAUUCAGAUCAUAAGAAACAACUAUAUUAAGUUUCAUGAAAUUUGGAUAAGUCGUUCUCAAGUUACGGUGCGACAUGUUUACGCCGGACAGACAGACAGAUGGACGGACAGUCAGACGGACGACACCGGACACUUGUAUGCCAUAAUACGUCCCGUCAAAAUUUUGAUGGGCGUAUAAAAACAUUACAAUAACUUUUGAAUUUACAGUAAUUUUACCAUUAUUAUUUUCAUCCUUUUUGUUUUUGUUAUGUAUGAUUACUAGUAUUACUGACCCUGAACAGUAUAGCAUGUAAAAUAAACUUAUGAAUAUUUUAUUGUCUAAAUAAUUGAAGCCAAC